rnacentral:snoRNA from 1 species
AGAUGAUGAUAAAACAGAAUGGAUUCCAGAAUUGUUAACAUGGCUAAAUUGAGACACAGUUUAUGUUUCUAUCCCGGUAAAUUUAUUACAGUGGUGACAAUGAGACUUCUAACUUUU